rnacentral:rRNA from 1 species
UACGUAGGGGGCAAGCGUUGUCCGGAAUCAUUGGGCGUAAAGAGCGCGUAGGCGGUCCGGUAAGUCCGCUCUGAAAGUCCGGGGCUCAACCCCGGGAGGCGGGCGGAUACUGUCGGGCUAGAGUCCGGAAGAGGCGAGUGGAAUUCCUAGUGUAGCGGUGAAAUGCGCAGAUAUCAGGAGGAACACCAAUGGCGAAGGCAGCUCGCUGGGACGGUACUGACGCUGAGGCGCGAAAGCGUGGGGAGCAAACGGG